GUACACGCUGUGACUAGCAUAUCAAUAAGCGGAGGAAAAGAAACUAACAAGGAUUCCCCUAGUAACGGCGAGUGAAGCGGGAAGAGCUCAAAUUUGAAAUCUUAAAGGGUUUCCCUUUACGAAUUGUAGUUUAAAGAAGUGUUUUCUGUUGAGGUUUUGGUAAAAGUUCUUUGGAAUAGGACAUCAUAGAGGGUGAGAAUCCCGUAUUUGACCUUUACUUUCAACUUUGUGAUACACUUUCAAAGAGUCGGAUUGUUUGGGAAUGCAGUCCAAAAUGGGUGGUAAAUUUCAUCUAAAGCUAAAUAUUGGCGAGAGACCGAUAGCGAACAAGUACCGUGAGGGAAAGAUGAAAAGAACUUUGAAAAGAGAGUUAAACAGUACGUGAAAUUGUCAAAAGGGAAGCGUUUGACACCAGUGUUGUUUUUCUGAAAAUCAAUUAAAGAACUGUUUAUGCUAAGUUGUUUAGACUUUAUCAGCUAUCUGUUUAGUUUUGAGCUUUUCUUUAAUGCACUUUUCAGUUAACAAGUCAACAUCAAUUUCUUUUGCUGUAAUAAAGCUUGAGGAAGGUGGCUUGAGAUUCGUCUUAAGUGUUUAUAGCCUCUUGCCUAUGCAGUCGGAGAGAUUGAGGUCUGCAGCGUAGAUCCUUCGGGGCUAAAUGCAUUUGUGCUAAGUUAUAGCAUUUUAUAGACAACUUGUUGACUAUGAUUUGUCUUGUAGCUUACUCGCUUAUGUUAUUUUACCUACGCUUAGGAUGUUGAUAUGCAUGACUGAUAU
rnacentral:rRNA from 1 species